UUAAGCGACUAAGCGUACACGGUGGAUGCCCUGGCAGUCAGAGGCGAUGAAGGACGUGCUAAUCUGCGAUAAGCGUCGGUAAGGUGAUAUGAACCGUUAUAACCGGCGAUUUCCGAAUGGGGAAACCCAGUGUGUUUCGACACACUAUCAUUAACUGAAUCCAUAGGUUAAUGAGGCGAACCGGGGGAACUGAAACAUCUAAGUACCCCGAGGAAAAGAAAUCAACCGAGAUUCCCCCAGUAGCGGCGAGCGAACGGGGAGCAGCCCAGAGCCUGAAUCAGUAUGUGUGUUAGUGGAAGCGUCUGGAAAGGCGCGCGAUACAGGGUGACAGCCCCGUACACAAAAAUGCACAUAUUGUGAGCUCGAUGAGUAGGGCGGGACACGUGGUAUCCUGUCUGAAUAUGGGGGGACCAUCCUCCAAGGCUAAAUACUCCUGACUGACCGAUAGUGAACCAGUACCGUGAGGGAAAGGCGAAAAGAACCCCGGCGAGGGGAGUGAAAAAGAACCUGAAACCGUGUACGUACAAGCAGUGGGAGCACGCUUAGGCGUGUGACUGCGUACCUUUUGUAUAAUGGGUCAGCGACUUAUAUUCUGUAGCAAGGUUAACCGAAUAGGGGAGCCGAAGGGAAACCGAGUCUUAACUGGGCGUUAAGUUGCAGGGUAUAGACCCGAAACCCGGUGAUCUAGCCAUGGGCAGGUUGAAGGUUGGGUAACACUAACUGGAGGACCGAACCGACUAAUGUUGAAAAAUUAGCGGAUGACUUGUGGCUGGGGGUGAAAGGCCAAUCAAACCGGGAGAUAGCUGGUUCUCCCCGAAAGCUAUUUAGGUAGCGCCUCGUGAACUCAUCUCCGGGGGUAGAGCACUGUUUCGGCAAGGGGGUCAUCCCGACUUACCAACCCGAUGCAAACUGCGAAUACCGGAGAAUGUUAUCACGGGAGACACACGGCGGGUGCUAACGUCCGUCGUGAAGAGGGAAACAACCCAGACCGCCAGCUAAGGUCCCAAAGUCAUGGUUAAGUGGGAAACGAUGUGGGAAGGCCCAGACAGCCAGGAUGUUGGCUUAGAAGCAGCCAUCAUUUAAAGAAAGCGUAAUAGCUCACUGGUCGAGUCGGCCUGCGCGGAAGAUGUAACGGGGCUAAACCAUGCACCGAAGCUGCGGCAGCGACACUAUGUGUUGUUGGGUAGGGGAGCGUUCUGUAAGCCUGUGAAGGUGUGCUGUGAGGCAUGCUGGAGGUAUCAGAAGUGCGAAUGCUGACAUAAGUAACGAUAAAGCGGGUGAAAAGCCCGCUCGCCGGAAGACCAAGGGUUCCUGUCCAACGUUAAUCGGGGCAGGGUGAGUCGACCCCUAAGGCGAGGCCGAAAGGCGUAGUCGAUGGGAAACAGGUUAAUAUUCCUGUACUUGGUGUUACUGCGAAGGGGGGACGGAGAAGGCUAUGUUGGCCGGGCGACGGUUGUCCCGGUUUAAGCGUGUAGGCUGGUUUUCCAGGCAAAUCCGGAAAAUCAAGGCUGAGGCGUGAUGACGAGGCACUACGGUGCUGAAGCAACAAAUGCCCUGCUUCCAGGAAAAGCCUCUAAGCAUCAGGUAACAUCAAAUCGUACCCCAAACCGACACAGGUGGUCAGGUAGAGAAUACCAAGGCGCUUGAGAGAACUCGGGUGAAGGAACUAGGCAAAAUGGUGCCGUAACUUCGGGAGAAGGCACGCUGAUAUGUAGGUGAAGUCCCUUGCGGAUGGAGCUGAAAUCAGUCGAAGAUACCAGCUGGCUGCAACUGUUUAUUAAAAACACAGCACUGUGCAAACACGAAAGUGGACGUAUACGGUGUGACGCCUGCCCGGUGCCGGAAGGUUAAUUGAUGGGGUCAGCGCAAGCGAAGCUCUUGAUCGAAGCCCCGGUAAACGGCGGCCGUAACUAUAACGGUCCUAAGGUAGCGAAAUUCCUUGUCGGGUAAGUUCCGACCUGCACGAAUGGCGUAAUGAUGGCCAGGCUGUCUCCACCCGAGACUCAGUGAAAUUGAACUCGCUGUGAAGAUGCAGUGUACCCGCGGCAAGACGGAAAGACCCCGUGAACCUUUACUAUAGCUUGACACUGAACAUUGAGCCUUGAUGUGUAGGAUAGGUGGGAGGCUUUGAAGUGUGGACGCCAGUCUGCAUGGAGCCGACCUUGAAAUACCACCCUUUAAUGUUUGAUGUUCUAACGUUGACCCGUAAUCCGGGUUGCGGACAGUGUCUGGUGGGUAGUUUGACUGGGGCGGUCUCCUCCUAAAGAGUAACGGAGGAGCACGAAGGUUGGCUAAUCCUGGUCGGACAUCAGGAGGUUAGUGCAAUGGCAUAAGCCAGCUUGACUGCGAGCGUGACGGCGCGAGCAGGUGCGAAAGCAGGUCAUAGUGAUCCGGUGGUUCUGAAUGGAAGGGCCAUCGCUCAACGGAUAAAAGGUACUCCGGGGAUAACAGGCUGAUACCGCCCAAGAGUUCAUAUCGACGGCGGUGUUUGGCACCUCGAUGUCGGCUCAUCACAUCCUGGGGCUGAAGUAGGUCCCAAGGGUAUGGCUGUUCGCCAUUUAAAGUGGUACGCGAGCUGGGUUUAGAACGUCGUGAGACAGUUCGGUCCCUAUCUGCCGUGGGCGCUGGAGAACUGAGGGGGGCUGCUCCUAGUACGAGAGGACCGGAGUGGACGCAUCACUGGUGUUCGGGUUGUCAUGCCAAUGGCACUGCCCGGUAGCUAAAUGCGGAAGAGAUAAGUGCUGAAAGCAUCUAAGCACGAAACUUGCCCCGAGAUGAGUUCUCCCUGACUCCUUGAGAGUCCUGAAGGAACGUUGAAGACGACGACGUUGAUAGGCCGGGUGUGUAAGCGCAGCGAUGCGUUGAGCUAACCGGUACUAAUGAACCGUGAGGCUUAACCUU
rnacentral:rRNA from 2 species